GUCUGACUGGCUCAGUUGGUAGAGCGUGUGACUCUUAAUCUCAGGGUUGUGAGUUCAAGUUCCACAUUAGACA